AGAGCAGAGCAGAUGAUGCCUGUAACACCGCUACACACUCACAGGACGCGCCACUUUUAAAGCCUGGUGCACAUACACCCAUAGUCCGAUCAGAACACACUCCUGGGAUAGCUGCGCUGUUUCUCAAGUGGACACGGGACAAUGUGUGGCUCAAACACAUUUUCAUUUCCUUUUUCUUUUUGACUCGCAGGGAACGACACACAUCCACGAAUUUGAAAGAGUGAUGCUGUAUCUACAAGGACGAGGAGGGAAGUCAACAUGAAGGUGGUCUUUACUGGUCUUGUGUAAGGUUGACUGCUGACCUCCUCAGUUCUGGACACAAUAUUAUAACGGCUGGAGUCUUUAGGCUGAGGGCAGUGAAGAUCUUAUCAGCUGAUCUCAGAGGUGACUGCUUUACUGUUUCUGCCCUCUUGUUAUGGACCAUAUUUCAUGAGUUUCCUGCUAUGGACCAGCAGUGUCUGUGUGCCUUUUAUCUUCCACUUCUAUAUGAAAGUGUCUGUAAGACAUUUUGAGUGACGUUGCUUCUGUCAAAUGUUUGAUUGAAGGAGACACAGAGAGAAAUGCUGUGCUAAUGAAAUGGUCUGACCCACAUCCUUUAGAGCGAUCCAUUUCUCCAAAGACACAGAAAGGGCAUUUAUACAGGUAAACCAUGACUGUUCCCUCAAGUGAAAGGGGUUUUUUAGAAGGAAGCGCUACAUCCAUUAUUUACUAUACUGGGGUUGCGAGACACUUAGGAGAUAAUGCAGUGCUUCAAGCAUACAAAACAUAGAGGCUCCAGUGUGCUGCCAAGGCCAUUGUUGUGUGUUUUGAACAUGUCUGUUUCCAUCCAUACUGACAGAUGAAAAAAUCUGUGUCUCCUCUGGGUUGAGAAGCCUGGGCAGAGACAGAUGAAGAGACAGGCAGCAUGGUGAAGAGCUGUGCUCUGUUUGAGCUGCCCUGUCAGUCAGGCCUUUGUGAAGUUUGCUAUUCACGUCUGUGCAGAUGUGUACAUGUCUUCUUGUUGCCCCCAGCCUCUAUUCUGUAUCAAGCGCUACAUUUCAUGCCAGAGUCCAAAAUGAUAUCAUGUAAAUGAGUGGUAGUGCAACACAGAGCAACUCAUGCCUGUGUAUUUGUACUUGCAGAUGCAUAUUUCUGCCCAUUGCCUUCAGUAACUUUGACUCCUGAUAGGACUGAAUGGAGGAGUAUAAUUUUGAGCACAUCAGCAGCUACAUCAGUGGCUCCUCAUACAGUCAAUGGCUGUGACUGCGGUCUACUGGGAGUAGUUAGCAGGGAUAGAGCCAGGCAUAAAACUCCUCCACCCUCUUAUCAGACUUAUGGCAACACCAGGGAUUUCUGUCUGCCUUUGUCAAUCCCCCAGAGGUGCUCCGACAUCAAGUCCUUUUGUGGAUGAGGAAGGCCACUUCCAAGAACAUCCAGUAUUUUUCUGCAUAACUGUGCAUGAUGAUUGAGAGGAGUAGUGCUAGUUCACAUGUACCAAGUCGCUCAAGUCGGAAUUCAUGACAGAUUCCAUAUUUUUUUUCUGCACCAAUCUCCAAAUACUGUUUUCAAAACCAGUCUUACAAAAAGAGAUGAUUGAAUAUAUAAUAAAAUCCCUUAAUUAUGUGUUCUGUGUAGCAUAAUGAAAGAUGUGUACAGUUUCAGUUUGGUGACUUGUAGAAUGGGAGGGUGUUUAAACUAAUGCUAGCUCUAUUAGUUUGUCGAUUCUUCCCAAAACCUCAGAAAGUGAGUGAAAGUGUGAGUGAAAGUGUGAGUGAAAGUGUUCCCUUGUGCGUGUAGUGCGGACAUCAGCCUUAUGUAGCCCUGUAGAAGUGCAGUGUCAGCAGUGCAGAUGAGCAGGACGCACAAAGCCUUUGCACAUGGAGCUGUGAGUGAGAUCAGCUGCCUCAGACGACAGGCCCUGCUCUGCUCUCUGUGCCCUUGAGGUACCACUGCAGCACAGUGUACACUGCCUUCAUCUACUGAAGAUGGGCUGCCGAUGGCUUAGGAACAUCAGCCAACUCUUAUAUACUGUAAGACAUACAGAAAAGCACUGUUGUUUGUCUGAUUAGAGCAGUCUAAAUUACUCUGCUAGUUACUUUGUAUUAUAUUUUACAAGUAUUUGAAAAAAAAAAAACAAGAUUGCUCAGUCAUUACAUGUGUACUACACUAAAUGUACUUAUGCAUUGGACAAAUUAUGCAUUGGACAGUUUUGAAUUAUUCUUGAGUAAGUUAGAAAAAGUCACUUGUAAAAACUGUAAGAGAAUAAAUGUAAUCUUAAGUGUAUCUCUUAUUUUACUGAGGUCCAUAUCACUGACCAUUUUUACAGUCAAAAGCAAUAAUUUAGAUAUUAUAUACCCAACUGUGUAAAACUGAGUGCUCAUAUUACCUGUGUUACACCUGUAUAUUUGUGCAGAAACAUGAUCCCAUAAUAGGUGCAGAGGAAGGGCGUGUCUGGUAUGGCAGUAAUGGAGGACAGGCUGGUCGCUCUGGUAGUCCAGUUAUAGUUCAGGUAUAGUCCAGGUUAGGCGUUCCCCAGACCCCUCCUCUCCUCUCCUCUGCGGGGCCGAAGAAAUAAGCAGCUGUAACCCUGAGACAGCCUUGUGUCCUCAGGUACAAAACAUGCGGUGGCCAUUUUAUCAGGUUCUAAGGAUACGGUGUAAGACAAUACAUGUGAGAAGUUCAGCGGGGACAAUGGGAGGAAAGUGCACUGUGAUAUGAGGGGGCCGGUGUCAGCUGCUAUUGUCAAAGCUUUUGUACACUCCAAGUACGCUGGAAACUCACUCUUCACCAAACUCCAUUCUUUAAAAGAGACAUUUUUGGUGCCGUUUACACAUUCGCGAAGAAGGACUGCACACACCGGGAGCUUGUCUGUGUUUAGAGUGAUAAAGUAGCAAUAGAAAUAUGUUUGAAAUACACAGAUCCUAGCAGUUUUGUCUGAUCUUUCACACUUUGAUGCUUUGACACAUGGACUUUUAUUUAAUACUGUUUUUUUCUCUUUUCAGGUAAAGGAGGUUGUAUCUGGAUUGGGGCAAAAGACAUCAGUUCCAAUGGCUGCAGUUGAAAUUGUCUGUAUUUUAUUAUAGUUGUAAGAAAAUAAAUAAAUAGUGUUACAGCUAGGUCGCAUGCCAGACAGGUGGACAAGAAUGUGCUAUCUAAACCAUAAGCUUUAAUGGACAAAUCAGCACAGUACAAAGGAAUAAAGAGGAAUUAAACUGAAUUCAGGUAUUGUUAAGGUUUCAAAAUGUUUCACAGUGAUAAAAUGUUAUUGAGGCAACUGUCAAAAGCUGUUUCAUAUGUUGUAACUGAUUGUAACUGAAUCUAUCAAGUAUUUCUGACAGAAAAAUAAAGACAUUGUUUUCGCU